GCCGGCGACCAUACCAUGUUGAAAGCACCGGUUCUCCUCCGAUCACCGCAGUUAAGCAACGUUAAGUUAAUGAGCCAGCC
rnacentral:rRNA from 1 species